CGUAGGUGAACCUGCGGAAGGAUCAUUGUCGGUUGACCCAUGGAAACACGACCGGAGCACACGUGAUAGAAAAAUGCUGGCGCGGAGGCUCCGCUCCAGCCAACCGGCCACAGUCGUCGCCGUACCCUAUGGGUGCGCCGGCUGCCUGGCUGAUUACGGCGCGGGCUGACGCCAAGUAACAUUCGAUGCGGAGGCGGCGGCGGCAUGCUGUAGUGCUGCUUGCAGCUGAUGCUUAUGAUUUCAACAUGACUCUCGGCAACGGAUAUCUCGGCUCUCGCAUCGAUGAAGAACGUAGCGAAAUGCGAUACGUGGUGUGAAUUGCAGAAUCCCGCGAACCAUCGAGUUUUUGAACGCAAGUUGCGCCCUAGGGACCUGCCCGAGGGCACGCCUGCCUCAUGGGCGUAAUAAGCCCAUCAACGCUCAUGUGUUCAAUGCCAUGUUCAUUGUGACGGGCCUGGACCGAUGCGGAUGAUGGCCCUCCGAGCCUUGUGGGCACGGCGGGCCCAAGUGUUUGUCGGUCGGACGUGGCCGGGAGCGGUGAGUUGUGGGAACCUGCAUAUGCCGCCCCAUGCGUGUGCCGGCGUCCGGCUUUUUAAUUUUGACCCAGGAUGAGGAGCUCGUUGUUGGUGCGUCCGGCUACGAGGAACCCUCGGACCGAUACCCCAGGUCAGGCGGGGCUACCCGCCGAGUUUAAGCAU
rnacentral:misc_RNA from 1 species